rnacentral:lncRNA from 1 species
CCACGGCACCACCGCUCCUCUCUUGCAUCUCCAUCUUUCCCCUUUCAAUAGCCAUUGUACCACCACUUUUCUAUUCUCGUGUCAUUAUCUCUUCGUCCCUCGAUCCCCUCCAUCUAUUGCCGUCGCCAAUCCUCUCUCCAUCUCCAUCUCCCCCCCCCCAAGAUCGCCGCUGCCACUCGUCUAUCACAUCUCCAUCUACGCUCCAUCCGACUACCGCCGCCCCUCCUCUCUCACAUCUCCAUCUCCAUCCUUCCGCCCACCGCCGCCAUGGGUCGUACGCCUCGUGCCAUGCUACCAAUUGAAACGGAGAGGAACACAGAUCUAACCUAAUCCUUUAGUUGAUUAUCCGCCGCCAUCUAUCUCUACCGGUCGUCGCCACCUUCCUUGUCUUUGAUGCUAUCAUGGGUGGAUCUAUGUCAAUCCACCGCCGUGAGAGGUAAUCCACUUUCCUUCAUAUUAUUAGAUCUGCAUCUUGUGAUUGCCAUGUUAACCGUUAGAUCUAGUGUUGCUACCAGUGGGCAAAGCGCUUGAACCUCGCGACUAAUAGCAUUUUUUAAUGUGCAACCACUUUUUGUAGACACCGAAGCCAGUUAGCAGUUGAGAAGCGAUGACGGAGCCUAGGCGGUCACCUGACCUACCCGAGAGGUGGCUCCACCACUGGCUGCUACUUUUGAACCCUAAAGAUCCCAGAGGGGAUGGCCGAUGGUGAAGUAGGCAUGAUAGCCCUCUAAAUUUAGGUACUUAUCAUUGUGAUUAUUUAAGAUUGUUUCAGGCAAAACACUCAUAUAUAUCUUAUAUAUGUAGUACGUACAAUUUUGAGUAUGCAUUCACAGAGUAUUAGGUAAUACCCUUUGAAACUUUCUUCAAGUAGCAAGUUAGUUAAUGAAUUGAAACAGUAAACUUCAACUAAAAUUCUAAGCAAGCUUAGAAAUAGGCAAAAAUAUAUGGUAGAAGUGAUAAGAAUCAUCUUUCACUAGGGUGUAAUAGAAACACUCAUUUAACAACCACUUUUGUAUAUAUGGUCAUCUGUUAAUUCUCUAGCUUUCAAAGAAAUAGAUAGAUAUGGCAAAUAUCUCCUGUUUUAAUAUGCAAGGCUUGCUAGCGUUUGGUAUAACCUUUUUGUUUGUAUAAUAGACAAGUAUUAGUGUGUAACUCUGUAUGUAUUGCACAUAGCUGUAAGUGGAAAUGGUCAUAAAUAAAAACUAAGGCAGUGGGCUGUAAGAAUAUCUCCUAUAAUUUUCUCACUGUAUUUUAUUUAUUUCAGGAGUACAGCCGAGAGUUAUAAAUGAGGUGCCAACUGCCAAGUAUGAUGGUGUCUUCACAUGGAACGGCAAUUUGGUAAGUUACAUCUGACGCCUUGCUUGCUUACCAUUUCUCAUAUUAUAAUUUUCUCGUGAUUAUAUGCUGAAAGAAUAAGGUCAUUUAACCAACAAUAUAAG